GUGCCAGCAGCCGCGGUAAUUCCAGCUCCAAUAGCGUAUAUUAAAGUUGUUGUGGUUAAAAAGCUCGUAGUUGAACCUUGGGCCUGGCUGGCCGGUCCGCCUCACCGCGUGCACUGGUCCGGCCGGGCCUUUCCCUCUGUGGAACCCCAUACCCUUCACUGGGCGUGGCGGGGAAACAGGACAUUUACUUUGAAAAAAUUAGAGUGCUCCAGGCAGGCCUAUGCUCGAAUACAUUAGCAUGGAAUAAUAAAAUAGGACGCGCGGUUCUAUUUUGUUGGUUUAUAGGACCGCCGUAAUGAUUAAUAGGGACAGUCGGGGGCAUCAGUAUUCAACUGUCAGAGGUGAAAUUCUUGGAUCAGUUGAAGACUAACUACUGCGAAAGCAUUUGCCAAGGAUGUUUUCAUUAAUCAGGAACGAAAGUUAGGGGAUCGAAGACGAUCAGAUACCGUCGUAGUCUUAACCAUAAACUAUGCCGACUAGGGAUCGGACGGUGUUAUUCAUGACCCGUUCGGCACCUUACGAGAAAUCAAAGUGCUUGGGCUCCAGGGGGAGUAUGGUCGCAAGGCUGAAACUUAAAGAAAUUGACGGAAGGGCACCACCAGGGGUGGAGCCUGCGGCUUAAUUUGACUCAACACGGGGAAACUCACCAGGUCCAGACACAAUAAGGAUUGACAGAUUGAGAGCUCUUUCUUGAUUUUGUGGUGGUGGUGCAUGGCCGUUCUUAGUGGUGGGUGACUUGUCUGCUUAAUUGCGAUAACGAACGAGACCUUAACCUGCUAAAUAGCCCGCAUUGCUCUGGCAGUGCGCUUGCC
rnacentral:rRNA from 1 species